rnacentral:rRNA from 1 species
UCCAGACUCCUACGGGAGGCAGCAGUGGGGGAUAUUGCACAAUGGGGGGAACCCUGAUGCAGCGACGCCGCGUGGGUGAAGAAGUAUUUCGGUAUGUAAAGCCCUAUCGGCAGGGAAGAAAUUGGACGGUACCUGACUAAGAAGCCCCGGCUAACUACGUGCCAGCAGCCGCGGUAAUACGUAGGGGGCAAGCGUUAUCCGGAUUUACUGGGUGUAAAGGGAGCGUAGACGGCGAUACAAGUCUGAAGUGAAAGCCCGGGGCUCAACCCCGGGACUGCUUUGGAAACUGUGUUGCUGGAGUGCUGGAGAGGCAAGCGGAAUUCCUAGUGUAGCGGUGAAAUGCGUAGAUAUUAGGAGGAACACCAGUGGCGAAGGCGGCUUACUGGACUGUAAAUGACGCUGAGGCUCGAAAGCGUGGGGAGCAAACAGGAUUAGAUACCCGCGUAA